rnacentral:rRNA from 1 species
UACAGAGGGUGCGAGCGUUAAUCGGAAUUACUGGGCGUAAAGCGCGCGUAGGCGGCUUUGCAAGUCGAGUGUGAAAUCCCCAGGCUUAACCUGGGAACUGCAUUCGAGACUGCAUGGCUAGAGUAUGGGAGAGGGAAGUGGAAUUUCAGGUGUAGCGGUGAAAUGCGUAGAUAUCUGAAGGAACAUCAGUGGCGAAGGCGGUCCCCUGGGCCGGAACUGACGCUGAGGCGCGAAAGCAAGGGGGAGCAAACAGG